rnacentral:tRNA from 1 species
GAGAGAGGCCUGAGGCUAUAGAGACUGCUAACCCCCCAACCCGCGGUUUGACUCCGCGGCUCACUCG